AGUGGCGGACGGGUGAGUAACGCGUGGGUAACCUGCCUCAUACAGGGGGAUAACAGUUAGAAAUGACUGCUAAUACCGCAUAAGCGCACAGGGACACAUGUUCCGGUGUGAAAAACUCCGGUGGUAUGAGAUGGACCCGCGUCUGAUUAGCUGGUUGGCGGGGUAACGGCCCACCAAGGCGACGAUCAGUAGCCGACCUGAGAGGGUGACCGGCCACAUUGGGACUGAGACACGGCCCAAACUCCUACGGAAGGCAGCAG
rnacentral:rRNA from 1 species